GAUGAACGCUGGCGGCGUGCUUAACACAUGCAAGUCGAACGGAAAGGCCCAAGCUUGCUUGGGUACUCGAGUGGCGAACGGGUGAGUAACACGUGGGUGAUCUGCCCUGCACUUCGGGAUAAGCCGGGGAAACUGGGUCUAAUACCGGAUAGGACGAUGGUUUGGAUGCCAUUGUGGAAAGUUUUUUCGGUGUGGGAUGAGCUCGCGGCCUAUCAGCUUGUUGGUGGGGUAAUGGCCUACCAAGGCGUCGACGGGUAGCCGGCCUGAGAGGGUGUACGGCCACACUGGGACUGCGCGACGGACCAGACGCCUAAGGGAGGCAGCAGGGGGGAUUCUGGCGCAGCGCGCGGAGGCGGGACGCAGCGACGCCGCGUGUGGGAAGAAGGCCUUCGGGGGGGAAACCCCGUGCAGGAGGGACGAAGGGGCGGCGGGGAAUAGCCGGCCGGACUGACGGUACCUCCACAAGAAGCCCGGGCUAACGACGUG
rnacentral:rRNA from 1 species